rnacentral:rRNA from 1 species
GAUGAACGCUGGCGGCGUGCCUAAUACAUGCAAGUCGAGCGAACGGACGAGAAGCUUGCUUUUCUGAUGUUAGCGGCGGACGGGUGAGUAACACGUGGAUAACCUACCUAUAAGACUGGGAUAACUUCGGGAAACCGGAGCUAAUACCGGAUAAUAUUUUGAACCGCAUGGUUCAAAAGUGAAAGACGGUCUUGCUGUCACUUAUAGAUGGAUCCGCGCUGCAUUAGCUAGUUGGUAAGGUAACGGCUUACCAAGGCAACGAUGCAUAGCCGACCUGAGAGGGUGAUCGGCCACACUGGAACUGAGACACGGUCCAGACUACUACGGGAGGCAGCAGUAGGGAAUCUUCCGCAAUGGGCGAAAGCCUGACGGAGCAACGCCGCGUGAGUGAUGAAGGUCUUCGGAUCGUAAAACUCUGUUAUUAGGGAAGAACAUAUGUGUAAGUAACUGUGAACAUCUUGACGGUACCUAAUCAGAAAGCCACGGCUAACUACGUG